rnacentral:rRNA from 1 species
GCUGGAAACGGCGGCUAAUACCGCAUACGCCUUGCGAGGGAAAGCUUUAGCGCCCUGGGAUGAGCCCGCGUCGGAUUAGCUUGUUGGUGAGGUAACGGCUCACCAAGGCUUCGAUCCGUAGCUGGUCUGAGAGGAUGAUCAGCCACACUGGGACUGAGACACGGCCCAGACUCCUACGGGAGGCAGCAGUGGGGAAUAUUGGACAAUGGGGGCAACCCUGAUCCAGCCAUGCCGCGUGCGUGAAGAAGGCCUUAGGGUUGUAAAGCGCUUUCGGCGGGGAAGAUGAUGACGGUACCCGCAGAAGAAGCUCCGGCUAACUCCGUGCCAGCAGCCGCGGUAAUACGGAGGGGGCUAGCGUUGUUCGGAAUUACUGGGCGUAAAGGGCGCGUAGGCGGAUCGUCAAGUCAGAGGUGAAAGCCCUGGGCUCAACCUGGGAACUGCCUUUGAAACUAAUGGUCUAGAGUCCGAGAGAGGAUGGCGGAAUUCCCAGUGUAGAGGUGAAAUUCGUAGAUAUUGGGAAGAACACCAGUGGCGAAGGCGGCCAUCUGGCUCGGUACUGACGCU